CCUCAAUGUGGCGGCCUAUGUUAAUACAUGCCUAUUGGCUACUAGAGGCCUCUAUCAUUCUCUAUGGGCUGAGCGGGAGGAAAACAGUUGAUCAGAACCAGGAAAUAGUCAAUAGUUUGAACUGUUUGUUAGACCGCGCUAAACAACGACAAAACACGAGUGUAUCCCAGGUUCUCGGGGGCUGUGACGAACAUCUCAGCGUUGGUGACGGGUGGCCAGAAUGGAACCAUGUUGAACUGUCUGUUGUGACCAAUAGGAGCAUCCUCCUCCGGGUACACUGCCUCCCCUGGGGGACGACAUGAACCUUAGCCGAGAGCUGGCAGUGGCUGGGUGUGGGUCUGCAGACGCUUUCCCCAUUGGUCUGUUUGACUGAAUUGUUUGUGUUCUGUGAUUGGCUGCAGUUGUGACAUACUAUACCUGGGGCGUGUCGGCUCAGCCACUCAUCAAAGAUGGCGUCAGUGAAGGUGUGGAGCAGGACAAAGAUGGGGUCGUUAGGGGACAGGUGUGUCUGCCCUCCCGUCCCGUUGAGGAACAGCUCUCUGAAGAGGUGGAGUAGUAAGAUAUCCUCUGAUCACAGUUAGGUCCGGUGAGUCCAUACCGGCAUCGGC